rnacentral:rRNA from 1 species
AGCAUCUGGCUUUGCCUUGGCAUCACCUGGGGAACCGCUUCUGCACUUGAUUGUGUGGUGUGACACCCGAGGAUUUUACUUUGAGGAAAUCAGAGUGCUUCCAGCAGGCAGUUGCCUUGAAUACACUAGCAUGGAAUAAUAUGACAAGACUUUGGUUUUAGCUUGUUGGUUUUUAGAAUCGAAGUAAUGAUUGAUAGGGAUAGUUGGGGGCAUUUGUAUUUAACUGUCAGAAGUGAAAUUCUUGGAUUU